rnacentral:lncRNA from 1 species
UUUGACAUGAUCAAGGCACCUAGUUUUCGACUCUUCUCCCAGUUGCCUGAAAUCUCACCAUGGAAUUUGUUGUGACUAAGAUCAAUGAAAUCAAGAUGUGGGUAAACACCAAAAGCUUCAGAAAUAUCUCCAAUGAAUAUGUUCCCUAUGAAUCUUGCUCUAAUCAAGCUCUGACAAUUUUUCAAACUUUUUGGUAUAGGACCUUCGAGGUGAUUAUCAUCUAAUGAGAGAUAUUGAAGCUUCCCACCUUCACAAAUGUUUCCAGGCAAGAAACCAGUGAAGUUGUUUCUACCGAGUUGCAAGAUAGUCAACUUUGAAGAGUUUGAUACUCCUAGUGGAAUAAGACCAGAGAGGUGGUUAUCACUAAGGCACAACAAUUCCAGGUUGGUAAAGUUUCCAAAGGAAUUAGGAACAUAACCUAUAAGAUUGUUCUGACUUAUCGCCAACUGAAUCAUGGAUUCCAUGUUUCCUAGUUCCACGGGAAUGAAACCACUUAGAUAAUUCAUAUCAAGAUAAAGACCUGUCAAGCUCUUCAGGUUUCCUAAGGAAGAAGGAAUUGAACCCGAGA